UACGUAGGGUGCAAGCGUUGUCCGGAAUUAUUGGGCGUAAAGAGCUCGUAGGCGGUCUGUCGCGUCUGCUGUGAAAACUCGGGGCUUAACCCCGGGCCUGCAGUGGGUACGGGCAGACUAGAGUGCGGUAGGGGAGACUGGAAUUCCUGGUGUAGCGGUGAAAUGCGCAGAUAUCGGGAAGAACACCCGUGGCGAAGGCGGCUCUCUGGGACGGUACUGACGCUGAGACGCGAAAGCGUGGGGAGCGAACAGG
rnacentral:rRNA from 1 species